AAUGUUUGAAAAUGCUAUAGGCUAAAUUGAAGUGACCAAAUAAAUAGGAGUGCAAAAAUAGGAGGAUUUGCAUGACAAACCUCCCAUUUUACAUGAAGUGGCUAGCCAUCAUGUUGUUGUAGACAAAAUGUACACUUGAUAUCCAUAAUUUAUGGUACAAAUUGAUACAAAUUGAUAAUAGGUUAGGUAAAUGUUUCAUGAUAAUAGGUUAGGUAAAUGUUCCAUGAUAAUAGGUUAGGUAAAUGUUCCAUGAUAAUGGGUUAGGUAAAUGUUUCAUGAUAAUGGGUUAGGUAAAUGUUUCAUGAUAAGAAUUUCAUGUCUUUUGUAUUAAAGAAUUAAAUGGAUGAAAUAUGAAGUUUUAUUAAAAGAAAAAGGGGUGAAAAGAACAAAGUUUUGUCCAUCUUUGUUCAUCAUAGCUGAAAGUUAGAGAAGAGAAAGGAGAGAAGAAAGCUCUUGAGUAUUCGGUCAUUAGGAGGAGGAAAAUUGAAGGAAAUCCCCAACCAUAGUGGGCUUGGAGCUGUGAGGGAAUUCGGAGUGGCCACCCGUUCUGAAAGUUUGGUUUUCUUCUGGUGAACUGGACAUCCUAUUAUUUACGUUGAGGUUUGGGUUUUUAAAUGUAAUAAGGCCGCUUAAUUA